UGGGGAAUCUUGCACAAUGGGCGAAAGCCUGAUGCAGCGACGCCGCGUGCGGGAUGAAGGCCUUCGGGUUGUAAACCGCUUUCAGCAGGGACGAGGCCGCAAGGUGACGGUACCUGCAGAAGAAGCCCCGGCUAACUACGUGCCAGCAGCCGCGGUAAUACGUAGGGGGCAAGCGUUAUCCGGAUUCAUUGGGCGUAAAGAGCUCGUAGGCGGCCCGUUAGGUCAGGAGUCAAAUUCGGGGGCUCAACCCCCGCGCGCUCCUGAUACCGGCGGGCUUGAGUUUGGUAGGGGAAGGUGGAAUUCCCAGUGUAGCGGUGGAAUGCGCAGAUAUUGGGAAGAACACCGGUGGCGAAGGCGGCCUUCUGGGCCAUAACUGACGCUGAGGAGCGAAAGCUAGGGG
rnacentral:rRNA from 1 species